GCCUUCGUGGUGUAAUGGUCAGCACACUGAGCCGGUAUAUCAGAUGUCCGCGGUUCGAUCCCCGGCGAAGGCA
rnacentral:tRNA from 1 species